ACGUACACUCCUACGGGAGGCAGCAGUGGGGAAUAUUGCACAAUGGGCGCAAGCCUGAUGCAGCCAUGCCGCGUGUAUGAAGAAGGCCUUCGGGUUGUAAAGUACUUUCAGCGGGGAGGAAGGCGAUAAGGUUAAUAACCUUGUCGAUUGACGUUACCCGCAGAAGAAGCACCGGCUAACUCCGUGCCAGCAGCCGCGGUAAUACGGAGGGUGCAAGCGUUAAUCGGAAUUACUGGGCGUAAAGCGCACGCAGGCGGUCUGUCAAGUCGGAUGUGAAAUCCCCAGGCUCAACCUGGGAACUGCAUUCGAAACUGGCAGGCUAGAGUCUUGUAGAGGGGGGUAGAAUUCCAGGUGUAGCGGUGAAAUGCGUAGAGAUCUGGAGGAAUACCGGUGGCGAAGGCGGCCCCCUGGACAAAGACUGACGCUCAGGUGCGAAAGCGUGGGGAGCAAACAGGAUUAGAUACCCCUGUAGUCCCAUGA
rnacentral:rRNA from 1 species